UGAAAGCAGAGGCUGGGCUGGCCAGGGAGAAACAAUGGUCAUUUGUGAAGGAGAGGAUGCUGGGAGCUCUGUGUCUCUGUAACAGGUGGCAAAACCAUGUUCACCUAUAAGGCUUCAAACCUUUGUUUAGUGAAAUGAAGUGUUAGCAAACCCAGAGAGAGUUUUUAAGAGCUUAUGCAUCCAUCAGAACCAGAGCCACAGAGUGGGAAGAGAACCACAAGACAUUUCCACAAAUACCUGUGGCUUUGUGAAUAGGAGUGAAAUGAGGCUCAGCGGCCUGUGUGAUUUGCCCAAGUUGAAAGAGAAGGCCACCACACCAUUCCAGGUCUGCCUUUUAUGUAAUGUCUUCUGCAGUUACACUCGAUUACUGCAGAUCAGGAGCUGGUGCUACCUUUCCUCGGGCUUCUGGAUUUUCUGCUUUCAGGGAGCUUGCUGCUCUGAGCUUCGGUGCUUUCGAUUGCAGAAAGGGAGCAGCUGCUGAUAGGAUUUGUGCUGUAGUCGAGGUGGGGCCAGAGUCAGUGGACCUCAGAUACUUGGUAAUGCAUGCCAUUAACCUUCACCGUGGUGGUCACUGCCCCGGUUCUAGACUGGUGCCCCAUGGCUCUAGACUGACUGGAU
rnacentral:lncRNA from 1 species